UGGGGGGGUGGGGGGUGGGGGGCUGUUGUAACCUGAUAGUGUGGAUGGAUGGAAGAGCAGAGGGAUGAGUAACAAUAGGUCCUUAUUCUGUAUCCAAACCUCACCUUAAUCCUCACUGAUAAACAUGUAAAUUCAUGUUUAUGUGUGUGUGCACAUGUGUAACAUCCAUAUAUGAAAAUGCUUCAUCCUGUGUCUGCGUGCUUUGUGUGUGCACAUAUUUCAAAAGUUAGUUUUAAUCUGUGAAUUUGUAAAUGUGAAAUAACUUUGAGUUCUUCAGAGCAAACUGAAUAUUAUCCCCAAGUUCCCGUUGUUAUCUUGUGUACACACAUUUGUUUAUUUGAUACAGCCCCUCUCCACUAUGGCACUUCUGUAUAUCAAAGACAGCAGUGCAGAGCGUAAUUGAAAAUGGCUACCGUGGAGAAAGGUCUCUCUCUGCUUUGACUACGAAGAGGCAGAAAAAGCCCCAUUCUCCGCUCCCUUCUUAGAUCUAUUUAAAUAAUUGAGGAGUAAACUGACAAAUUAGGCACCUUUAUGGACGCCCCUGGGCUCUCUCUGGGGUCCUUCAGUUUCCCCAAUACAAGAGAGUGCCACCAGGCACAGGAUAAAUAUCUCUGUAUGCUUUGAGAGGGUGGGGUGGGGUGGAAGGAGGGUAGUGGGCCAGGAGGGGUUUCGCCAAUCAAGCGGGCCACACUUCCUCCCCCAGGUUCUAAUUUUGUGCCACAUUAAAGAGCUCGGCCUCCAUUUAGGACACAGAGAGGCAUUUUCAUAAUUUGCCGGGUCUGUCGACUAGCUUGGGGUGCCUUUUUUCCUCUCUCUCCUCCCUCUCUCUCUCACUCCGUGUCUGAAUGGAAGGCCUGGGGAGGAAGAGGGGUAAUUCAUUCGCCUCCUUUCAACCAACCGGCUUCAGUUCUGCAUAAUGUUGCUGCUAGGUGUGUAUAGCAGCUAAUAUUUAUCUCUUUAAUAAUUCUCUAUUAGACCUGAAUAUUAUAUGCUGUAUAAAAGCUAACAACGCUUAGUGUCAGCUAUAAGGAAAUGGUGUCAUUCAUGUUUUUUUUGACUCAUUAGGGCUAAUUCACAUGCUUUUAUUUAGCAUUCUGAACACAGUUCAAGACUGGUGCAUCUUAUCUGUGACCAUGCAGCCAUACAGCUGUGAUGCCUACAUUGAUAAAAUCUUUGAUCCAGUAUAUAUACAGUAUGUAAUCUAGGUUAAAGUUGUUUCGUUUCUUCUUCCUGACACCAUCCAUUCAUGCAGUACAGCAUGUGUAAGCAUUGAUUCAUAUGUGAUUGGUCACAUAAUUCACAGUCUCAGGGGGCAUUUCAUCGCUGACAGACAAGCUAAUCUAAAAUCCCCCAAUUUACAAAUGAAAAUCCCACCAUCCAAUUGAGCUAAUAGAGGGACUUGAAUGGGAUAAUAAGAUGUGGUGUAAUACUGUGUAAAAAGCCUGUAAUGUUGUGUUGGUGUAAGAGCCUGUGUGACUGGAUGUUUGACUGUUUGCAGUGAUUACAGGGGCCUGCGGGCCUGGCGGCGGCUCUGUGGCUGGGACAGGGAGCUUCUCCCUGGGCAAGGAGAUACGCCUGUCUGCCCCUUCUGCUGGAGCUACAGGGACCGGGAUGUCAGGAGGGAGAGUGCUCCCUGUGAGCUCCCUCUCUCCCUUUCUCUCUCUCUUUUUCCCUCUCUGUCUUUCACUCUCUGUCUCUUUCUGUCUGUCUCUCUCUCCCUCUCCCUCUCAUCUCGCUGCGUCUGUACUAUUGCAGUGCUUGCAGAUGUGCACAAACAAGGGAGGAUUAAAGCAAAACGAAUCUAAACAGACAAAUGGAAUUAGAGUGAUGGGUGUCGGUGGGCUGGUUCACAGUGAUAAACAUAAUGAUGCUCUGUGAGUGUGUGUGUGUGUGUGUGAGUGUGUGUGUUCCUGUGUCUAGGGGAUUAUCGGUGGUUAGGUGUGUGGUGUGUAUGGCUGGGUGACUGCUUCUGGGUGUCUUUGUGUGUUUGCCUAUCUGUCUAUGUUUUUGUAAUUAUGUGUGUGUAUAUUUACUCGGUCUCUACUUGUGUGUGUGAUAAAUGUGUUAUUCCAUAUUGCCUCACAAAAACAAGUCUCUGCGCCCUCUGCAUGCGUGUGGAUAUGUUUCGUGUUUUCCUGUUGUUUGGGGUCAUUCUUCCUUCUUGUCUUUCAUAGUCUGUUUGUAUUUGUGCACUGGAGCUAACUAAGCCUGUGUGACUCUUCUGCACAUAAAAACUCUUCAUUCCGAUAUUGACAAAGGUUUGUGGAAUAUGAAGGUUUCAUACACUGAAUUUGCAUACCACUCUGCGGUUUAUGUGCAGAUGUUGUGUUUUCUUGUGGCAGGGGUCUGUGUGUUUGUGUGCUGAGGAGGUCAGGAGUUUGGAGGAGCCAGCAGGGGGGCGGUGAUCAACAGUCUGGGGCUCCCCUGCCGAGGGGCUCUGGGAUUAGGGUUAAACCCUGCCCUGCCAGAUGGGCACAACACAUCCUCAACAUCGCGCACCAGCACCUUUAGGACUGCACUCACCCUGCCCCCUUCUUCUGUUGAAGCUAGUGGACUGGAAUCAGGGUGAUGCUCACUGGUCUAUACAGAGUGGCGGCAGGAGAGACGACUGAGAUGAGGUACUCUUCAAAGUGUCAGCUAGUGGACAAUAUGGCCAGUCAGCAGGUUCAAGGGUAUCGGAAAUGAAACUUGCAGGUUGUUUUGAUGUGCUGUAUUUCAGAGCCACAGGCAACACUGAAAUGAUAAAGUGUGUGUAGGUGUGUGCAGGUAUGUGUGUGUGCGGGUAGAUUGGUGGUUCAGGCAUCAGCAGUGUGUUGAUUGCUUCCUGCUUGACUUUCAUUGCACACAGCUGGCACUAAAUAGUCUCACAUGUGGUUCAUGAAUCACUACAGUAAUUUCUCUUGUUCAGUGACCCUUCACUUGCUGUUAUAGGCACAUAAACUGGGAUUUUACUGUCAAUAGGAGGUAAAACAUUUACUAUGUUAACCUGUUGUUGCUUGAUUCUAUUUUAGCUUAGCUCUACUAUUACUAUUAAUUCAGUAAAAAAGUGAAAAGAAUUUAAAAGCACUACUAUUAGUUCACAGAAGCUACGCUACUUCUUGUAUGUAAAAAAGCACUUAAAGCAACCAAGCAAGGGACAAGUUUACAUUUCCAUGCUUUCAAUCCCACACCUUAAACAAUGAACAAAAAUGUCUACACGAUAAAAUUCAGCAGUAUGCAGUGUCAACCUGUCGUAAGUCUUUGUGAUAGUACCCCACCUGGAUCUAUUAUCCAUUCGUUCCCAGCAUGACUUAGGAAAUUGUCUCUGUAUUACUAGAAAGCAGAUUACAUGAGACAAGUGUACAAACAAAUAAAAGAUUACAGGCUGUGAA